rnacentral:rRNA from 1 species
GAAUUACUGGGCGUAAAGCGCGCGUAGGUGGCUUGAUAAGCCGGUUGUGAAAGCCCCGGGCUCAACCUGGGAACGGCAUCCGGAACUGUCAAGCUAGAGUGCAGGAGAGGAAGGUAGAAUUCCCGGUGUAGCGGUGAAAUGCGUAGAGAUCGGGAGGAAUACCAGUGGCGAAGGCGGCCUUCUGGACUGACACUGACACUGAGGUGCGAAAGCGUGGGUAGCAAACAGGAUUAGAUACCCUGGUAGUCCACGCCGUAAACGAUGUCGACCAGCCGUUGGGUGCCUAGCGCACUUUGUGGCGAAGUUAACGCGAUAAGUCGACCGCCUGGGGAGUACGGCCGCAAGGUUAAAACUCAAAUGAAUUGACGGGGGCCCGCACAAGCGGUGGAGCAUGUGGUUUAAUUCGAUGCAACGCGAAGAACCUUACCUACUCUUGACAUCCUGCGAAUUYGGUAGAGAUACCUUAGUGCCUUCGGGAACGCAGAGACAGGUGCUGCAUGGCUGUCGUCAGCUCGUGUUGUGAAAUGUUGGGUUAAGUCCCGUAACGAGCGCAACCCUUGUCCUUAUUUGCCAGCGCGUAAUGGCGGGAACUCUAAGGAGACUGCCGGUGACAAACCGGAGGAAGGUGGGGACGACGUCAAGUCAUCAUGGCCCUUACGAGUAGGGCUACACACGUGCUACAAUGGUCGGUACAAAGGGUUGCCAACUCGCGAGAGUGAGCCAAUCCCGAAAAGCCGAUCUCAGUCCGGAUCGGAGUCUGCAACUCGACUCCGUGAAGUCGGAAUCGCUAGUAAUCGUAGAUCAGAAUGCUACGGUGAAUACGUUCCCGGGCCUUGUACACACCGCCCGUCACACCAUGGGAGUGGACUGCACCAGAAGUGGUUAGCCUAACGCAAGAGGGCGAUCACCA